rnacentral:rRNA from 1 species
UACGAAGGGUGCAAGCGUUACUCAGAAUUACUGGGCGUAAAGCGUGCGUAGGUGGUUCGUUAAGUCUGAUGUGAAAGCCCUGGGCUCAACCUGGGAAUGGCAUUGGAUACUGGCGGACUGGAGUGCGGUAGAGGAUGGCGGAAUUCCCGGUGUAGCAGUGAAAUGCGUAGAGAUCGGGAGGAACAUCUGUGGCGAAGGCGGCCAUCUGGACCAGCACUGACACUGAGGCACGAAAGCGUGGGGAGCAAACAGG